UACGGGGGGGGCAAGCGUUGUUCGGAAUUACUGGGCGUAAAGGGCUCGUAGGUGGCCAACUAAGUCAGACGUGAAAUCCCUCGGCUUAACCGGGGAACUGCGUCUGAUACUGGAUGGCUUGAGUUCGGGAGAGGGAUGCGGAAUUCCAGGUGUAGCGGUGAAAUGCGUAGAUAUCUGGAGGAACACCGGUGGCGAAGGCGGCAUCCUGGACCGACACUGACGCUGAGGAGCGAAAGCCAGGGGAGCAAAACAGG
rnacentral:rRNA from 1 species